rnacentral:sRNA from 1 species
GGAUGCCUAUGGAAACCUCUUGGUCUGUGCACAUGGAUUUAACUUUAUAAGGGGACCAGAAACUAGAGAACAGUAUCCAAAUAAAUUUAUCCAGCGAGAUGAUACUGAAAGAUUUUACAUUUUGAACACACUAUUCAACCUACCAGAGACCUACCUGUUGGCCUGCCUAGUAGAUUUUUUUACUAAUUGUCCCAGAUAUACCAGUUGUGAAACAGGAUUUAAAGAUGGGGACCUCUUCAUGUCCUACCGGAGUAUGUUCCAGGAUGUAAGAGAUGCUGUUGACUGGGUUCAUUACAAGGGCUCCCUUAAGGAAAAGACAGUUGAAAACCUUGAGAAGUAUGUAGUCAAAGAUGUAAGUAAUAUAGGGGAAAAUAGAUCUGCAUAAUAGCUCAUUUUACCUAUUAGGGAAAUUAAAACAAGCUGAUUUAUAAUGAAAUGGACAAAGGAAGAGAUUUCUUUGUCUUGGCAUAGUAUGUGCCGGGUAUCAUCACCAAGAAUAUUCAGCUAGAGCAUAGGUCUUAGUAGAGUUUUUCCUGUUUCUUGAUAGGCAAGAAGACUCAGUAUUUCAUUUGUUCGCUUAGCUUCAAUUAUAAUAGCACUUAGAGGUUUACUGUAUGCAUAUCAUCACCAUGCUAAGUGAUUACAUGCAUUAUGCCAUUUAAUCUUCUGUAUGACCUUGAGUUAAGUAUUAUUGUUGCCUCUGUUUUAUAGAUAAAAAACCUGAGAAAUAGAGGGAUUAAAUAACUUGCCAAAGGUCACACAGUUAGUAAGUAAUAAAGCUAAGUCACACCCAAAUCAUAACUACUGCACUAGAUCAUCUCAAAAAUGUGCAUAUAUGUUACUGUUAUUUAAA